GACCGUGGUGGUGGAGCAGUUCGCGUGCCUUGCUGUGGCGCGAAUGCCCAGGCCGGCGCCGAGCAACUCGGUGACGCGCUUG
rnacentral:tRNA from 1 species